AGUGGCAGCUCAGCAGCCUAUACCCGCGUCUCUCCGUAGCGGCCGGCGCCCGGCGGCGAGGAGGAGCCGCCGGCGCCGCUGGUAUCCCCGGCCGGUCGCCGAGAAGUGCAGUGGUCGCGUCCCACGGUGGCUCGUGGGUGCGCGGGGCUGCGCCGCCGCCUGUGUUCUCCCCAGCCCCCCACUCUGUAAGAGCCGGGAGACCUCGUUCACUCGUGUUUACGGCAAGUAUUUACCGAGUGCCCACUGUGUACCCCAUGCCGUGCCGGGCGGAGGACGGGCAGGUCGUGGGGCACCCCUGGCCCGGGGCCCUUGUCUCCUGGCUUCCAGAGAGGGGAGAACGUGGUAGUUUCUGGUCGUGACGGGAGCUCUGAAAGGAAUGGGUCACUCAGCCCAUCGCCAGCACUGCCAUUUUGUCGGUUUUCAAACACCAAGAACCCUGGGGUAGAGAUUCUUAAACUUCUCUGUAUCGUGAUUUAUUUUGAAAAAUGUAGGGAAAUGCUGUUGGCCAGAGAGAUAAUGGUUCUGUUCAGGAAAACACCUGCGCCUGCAUUUCGUGUGUCGCUUCAGGGGUUCAUGGAGUUCUGAAGUCCACCUGGGGGGCCUGAGCAGCGAGCUCCAGGCGCAGAUGCCGCUGUGUCCCAGCGCGCCCGGACUUUGUCAUCGUUUUACAUAUGUCACCUUCGCGAAAGAGCUCUUUGGAUGCACGAGUUCUGCCGGGAAUCGAGGGAAGAACACUCAGGACUAUCCUAAGGAAAUUAUUGAAUGUACACGAAGUUGCAUUAUAAGAUGCCCCUUCCAGAAUUGUUCAUGAAACCAAGAAUCGGAAGCAGCCUAAAUGUCCAUCAGUAGAGGAGAUAGGAGACAGUAAGUACCAGUGUGGUACGCCCAGACUAUGGCAUACCAUGCAUCGGAAAAGAAAACGAAAGGCCUGUUCAUUUUGAUGCAUGCACACUCUUGUUAUUUAAAAAAACUGGGAAAAUACGUAUAGCAUCAUAACAAAAACACAUCAGAAGGAAAUGGGUAGGAUGUACAGCCAGCUGUUACUUAUAAAAAGGAGAAAAAGUGAAAUGAGGGGGUGUUGGAAAAGUUUGCCCAUUUUCUCUGUUACAUCUACAUUCUCUGAAUCUUGUACAGGGACCAUUUAUUUAGGUGUUACUGUUGUUCUCUAUUGUUGCAUAACAAACACCCCAGAAGUUAGUGGUGUAAAAGCAACCUUUCUCCUCUCACGACUCUGGUCAGGAUUUUGAGCAGGCCCAGCAGGGACAACUCACGUCUGCUCCAUGACUGGAGCUUCAGCUGAGGUGGCUCCCGUGUCUGGAGAUUGUUGGAGUGGCUGUACUUGACUGGGGUCAUGUGUCUGCGGCCUCAGGACCGUCUGCUGGUGACUCUUUGGGUCUGCUGGCACCGGAAUAUCCAGCCUGGGCUGGCCUGGCUGGGACAGCUAGAGAUGGCCGCAAGUCCGUCUCUGUCCGUGUGCACAGCGUGGGCUUCCACGCGGCAUGACAGUCUCAAGAUAAUCAGCCUUCUUAAGUGGUGACCGGUGCUCCCAGAGGCAGCAUGCCAGGAAGCCCCGGGUGGUGGCAUCAAGACUUCUUCGUCCCAGAGGGUCACAUCCGUUUCGUUCUGUUGCUUAAGCACAUCACCAAGGCCAGUCUAGGCACCGCCUCAAUAAGUAAUAAGGAAUUGGCGGCCCUUGUUAACCUACCAACUUAUAUCAUGUUCAAAGUAAAGACUUUGAACUGGAAAUUCCACCUGACCUAUGAUUUACAGUGACCUUCAUUAAAGCAGAGCACACCCA